CUACGGGUUGCAGCAGUGGGGAAUCUUGGACAAUGGGCGCAAGCCUGAUCCAGCCAUGCCGCGUGAGUGAAGAAGGCCUUAGGGUCGUAAAGCUCUUUCGCCAGAGAUGAUAAUGACAGUAUCUGGUAAAGAAACCCCGGCUAACUCCGUGCCAGCAGCCGCGGUAAUACGGAGGGGGUUAGCGUUGUUCGGAAUUACUGGGCGUAAAGCGCGCGUAGGCGGAUUAGUCAGCCAGAGGUGAAAUCCCAGGGCUCAACCCUGGAACUGCCUUUGAUACUGCUAGUCUUGAGUUCGAGAGAGGUGAGUGGAAUUCCGAGUGUAGAGGUGAAAUUCGUAGAUAUUAGGAGGAAUACCGGUGGUGAAGACGGCUAUCUUGGUUAUAUCUGACGCUAAGGUACGAAGGUGUGGGUAGCAAACAGGAUUAGAUACCCGGGUAGUC
rnacentral:rRNA from 1 species